AAAAUGUUCUUUUGAAUGAUUCUACAAGAUUUUUGUUUGUUUUUUAGUUAUAAAAUAUGAGUAUCAAAAUCAUAGCUAUAAGGUAGAAUUGUUGAGGAUUUUUUUUUAAACCAAUUAUCACAACAAAACCAACAACUGAUGCAUCGUCUCUUUCUCUCUCUCAAAACCGUAAUCGAUCGAAUCAUCGUAACUUCUCCUCCUGCAAUCGAUCGAAUCUAAUGGUCAAUAGUUCCUUGAAGAAUCAUCAAGGUACGUUUUCCUGAUGCUCCGUACAAUCCUCCGAUUCGUUAGAUUUGGGGAUUUUAAAUGUGGUUGGAUCACUUAGCUCAAUGGUGGUUGGUGAGUUCGGUGUUAGGUGAAUGAAGAAGCUCUGUUUCUUCCUCUUCUACUUCUAAUUUGCGCUUGAAGCAAUCAAAUUAGGGAUAACUUUUUUUUUUUGAACAAAGAUUGGGGUUUGGGGAUAACAAUGUUGUCUUCUACUUCUUUCUCCUUCGAGCAACCUCGAGUAAUAACCUGUAAAGGUAAACAAAAAAGGGUCUUUUGUUUUUGUCGUAGUUUAUGAAAGAUUAUAUUUUUUGAUUGGGUAGUUCUUGUAGCGGCGGUGGCAUGGUGUCCUGGUGAGUUGUAGUGAGUCCACCUCAACCUCUUGAGAUCAGGAUUAAGUGGUUUGUACAUCUCUAUGUCGUAGUGACCUCUCUCCUUGGGAGUCUCAGGAAACUCAACGUUUACUUAGUGAACCUGAAGAAGAUGCUGUCGAAGAAACUAACGUUGAUCAAAGAAAUGAUGAAGAAGAAGAACAGCUUCAUGGUACUCAAGAACAACAAAGAAUGCUGGCUAAUAUAUGGAGAGCAAAUAUAGCUGCAAGCAUGUGGACUGAUGAUAUGAAUAUGGGAUCAUGAUGCAUUACUAUGACUAUGCUUUAUUUUUAGAUUGUUUCAUUUCCUUUGUUGGGUAAUUCUUUUUUCUUUUCUCUUUUUUUUGGUUCUUGUCUAGAAACAUAAAAGUCUUGUUUUCUUUUCUCUGUUUUGAAAACGACUUGCAACCUAGUGGUUCAGUGACUUUUUUUGUUCAAUGAAACGUAAAAUUACGAGAGGUCAA